ACCAGAAUGGCCGAGUGGUUAAGGCGUUGGACUUAAGAUCCAAUGGGCAAAUGCCCCGCGUGGGUUCAAUCCCCACUUCUGGUA